rnacentral:rRNA from 1 species
UACGUAGGUGGCAAGCGUUGUUCGGAAUUAUUGGGCGUAAAGGGCGCGUAGGCGGUUGGUUAAGUCAGCUGUGAAAGCCCGGGGCUCAACCCCGGAGGGUCGGCUGAUACUGAUUGACUAGAGUACGGAAGAGGUAGCUGGAAUUCCCGGUGUAGCGGUGAAAUGCGCAGAUAUCAGGAGGAACACCGGUGGCGAAGGCGGGUCUCUGGGCCGAUACUGACGCUGAGGAGCGAAAGCAUGGGUAGCGAACAGG